rnacentral:SRP_RNA from 1 species
GCUGGGCAUGGUGGUGUGUGCCUGUGAUCCCAGCUACUCAGGAGGCUGAGGCAGGAGAAUUGCUUGAGCCUGGGAGGCAGAGACUGCAGUGAACCGAAAUCACACCACUGCACUCCACUCUAGCCUGGGCAACAAAGCAAGACCUUGUCUCAA